AAAGCAAACCGUUCUAUCGCUCUGCAUUUAUUUGUAGAGAGGAAAGUCCGGGCUCCACAGGGCAAUGCAGCGGGUAACGCCCGUCAUUCUGAUAGCAAUAUCGGGAUAGGACCAGUGCAACAGAAAGGAUGUACGUCUUGAUAGUUCGCUUGCGAAUUUAUUAAGAGCUGUAGUGAAAUCAGGUAAACUCUGCGUGGAGCAAGACCAAAUAAAGGGAGAGAAGUGGCCCGCUUCAUUUGAUCCCAGGGUAGGUUGUUAGAUCUUAUCAGCAAUGGUAAGACUAGACAAAUGAUAGAAACCUAAACGUUUUCGUUUGGGUACAGAACCCGGCUUAUAGGUUUGCAUAUUAU
rnacentral:RNase_P_RNA from 1 species